GGCUCUCUGUGCGUCAGCAGGCGGAGGAGCAAACGGUGCGACUCGGGACUACUUCACGGAUCCAAGACUUCCCAACAAGAUUCACAUGCAGCUAAUUAAAGACAAGAAAGCGGCUUAAUUAGCAAAAUCAUGAUGCUCAGCUGUUGGGAGAGACCAGACGGAAUCCAGCCUCGGGGGUCAUCUGGAGGCAUGAGAGCCCUACUGCCAUCAGUGUGGGUUUCCAAGCUGCCUUGGGCUCUGUCUACUGUCGCAAAAGCUUUUAAAGAUAUUCAUUAAACACGGACCUUCCUGCUC
rnacentral:lncRNA from 1 species